AUUGAACGCUGGCGGAAUGCUUUACACAUGCAAGUCGAACGGUAGAGGGGGCAACCCCUCGAGAGUGGCGAACGGGUGAGUAAUAUAUCGGAACGUGCCCAGUCGUGGGGGAUAACGUAGUGAAAUUACGCUAAUACCGCAUACGAUCUAAGGAUGAAAGCGGGGGAUCGCAAGACCUCGCGCGAUUGGAGCGGCCGAUAUCAGAUUAGGUAGUUGGUGGGGUAAAGGCUCACCAAGCCAACGAUCUGUAGCUGGUCUGAGAGGACGACCAGCCACACUGGAACUGAGACACGGUCCAGACUCCUACGGGAGGCAGCAGUGGGGAAUUUUGGACAAUGGACGCAAGUCUGAUCCAGCCAUUCCGCGUGCAGGAUGAAGGCCCUCGGGUUGUAAACUGCUUUUGUACGGACGAAAAGGUUUCUAUUAAUACUAGGAGCUCAUGACGGUACCGUAAGAAUAAGCACCGGCUAACUACGUG
rnacentral:rRNA from 1 species